CGGGAAGUGAUGACAUUCAUGUAACCCUGACCUCUUGGUGAUUUCUCAUGUAUUCGUACUGGCUGAUCCCG